rnacentral:tRNA from 1 species
ACCGGAACAGUUCAGUUGGGAGAGCGUUAGACUAUAGAUCGAAAGGUCCCUGAUUCGAUCCCGGGAUUCGGAA